UGGGGAAUAUUGGACAAUGGGCGAAAGCCUGAUCCAGCAAUGCCGCGUGAGUGAUGAAGGCCUUAGGGUUGUAAAGCUCUUUUACCAGGGAUGAUAAUGACAGUACCUGGAGAAUAAGCUCCGGCUAACUCCGUGCCAGCAGCCGCGGUAAUACGGAGGGAGCUAGCGUUGUUCGGAAUUACUGGGCGUAAAGCGUACGUAGGCGGUUAUUCAAGUCAGAGGUGAAAGCCCGGGGCUCAACCCCGGAACGGCCUUUGAAACUAGAUAGCUAGAAUCUUGGAGAGGUCAGUGGAAUUCCGAGUGUAGAGGUGAAAUUCGUAUAUAUUCGGAAGAACACCAGUGGCGAAGGCGACUGACUGGACAAGUAUUGACGCUGAGGUACGAAAGCGUGGGGAGCAAACAGGAUUAGAUACCCUCGUAGUCCCUGAGCGGGCUGGCAAGGCGCAU
rnacentral:rRNA from 1 species